UGGGGAAUCUUCCGCAAUGGGCGAAAGCCUGACGGAGCAACGCCGCGUGAGUGAAGACGGCCUUCGGGUUGUAAAGCUCUGUUAUUCGGGAAGAAAGAGUCGCUUGUGAACAAUGAGCGAAAGUGACGGUACCGAAAGAGAAAGCCACGGCUAACUACGUGCCAGCAGCCGCGGUAAUACGUAGGUGGCGAGCGUUAUCCGGAUUUACUGGGCGUAAAGGGCGUGUAGGCGGCUAGAUAAGUGUGAUGUUUAAAUCCAAGGCUUAACCUUGGGGUUCAUUACAAACUGUUUAGCUUGAGUGCUGGAGAGGAUAGUGGAAUUCCUAGUGUAGCGGUAAAAUGCGUAGAUAUUAGGAGGAACACCGGUGGCGAAGGCGGCCUUCUGGGCCAUAACUGACGCUGAGGAGCGAAAGCUAGGGGAGCGAACAGG
rnacentral:rRNA from 1 species